UGAGUACGAGCUGCUACGGCAGCGAAGUUGGUGAUGUCAUGCUUCCAAGAAAAGCUCUAUACCCGUUAAGGCAUAACUGCCAGUACCCGAAACCGACACAGGUGGGGUGGUAGAGAAUACCGAGGUGCGCGAGGUAACUCUCUCUAAGGAACUCGGCAAAAUGGCCCCGUAACUUCGGGAGAAGGGGUGCCACAGCAAUGUGGUCGCAGUGAAGAGGCCCUGGCGACUGUUUACCAAAAACACAGGUCUCCGCUAAGUCGCAAGACGAUGUAUGGGGGCUGACGCCUGCCCAGUGCCGGAAGGUUAAGGAAGCCGGUCAGCGUAAGCGAAGCUGGCGACUGAAGCCCCGGUGAACGGCGGCCGUAACAAUAACGGUCCUAAGGUAGCGAAAUUCCUUGUCGGGUAAGUUCCGACCCGCACGAAAGGCGUAACGAUCAGGGCGCUGUCUCGGAGAGAGGCUCGGCGAAAUAGAAUUGUCUGUGAAGAUGCGGACUACAUACACCCGGACAGAAAGACCCUAUGAAGCUUUACUGUAGCUUGGUAUUGUGCCCGGGCUCUGAAUGCGCAGGAUAGGUGGGAGACGUUGAUCUAGUGCUCGUGGGUACUAGGGAGUCAAUGGUGAGAUACCACUCUUUCAGAGCUAGGGUUCUAACGUUCACCCGUUAUCCGGGGAGCGGACAGUAUCAGGUGGGCAGUUUGACUGGGGCGGUCGCCUCCUAAAAGGUAACGGAGGCGCGCAAAGGUUUCCUCAGGCUGGUUGGAAAUCAGCCGACGAGUGCAAAAGCAGAAGGAAGCUUGACUGUGAGACCUACAAGUCGAACAGGGACGAAAGUCGGCUUUAGUGAUCCGACGGUUCUGAGUGGAAGGGCCGUCGCUCAACGGAUAAAAGUUACUCUAGGAUAACAGGCUGAUCUCCCCCAAGAGUUCACAUCGACGGGGAGGUUUGGCACCUCGAAGUCGGCUCAUCGCAACCUGGGGCUGAAGUCGGUCCCAAGGGUUGGGCUGUUCGCCCAUUAAAGCGGUACGCGAGCUGGGUUCAGAACGUCGUGAGACAGUUCGGUCCAUAUCCGGUGUAUGCGUAGGAAUAUUGAGAGGAUUUCUCCCUAGUACGAGAGGACCGGGAGGAACGCACCUCUGGUGUACCAGUUAUCGUGCCAACGGUAAACGCUGGGUAGCCAUGUGCGGAGUGGAUAACCGCUGAAAGCAUCUAAGUGGGAAGCCCACCUCAAGAUGAGUAUUCCCAUGGGGUAACCCAGUAAGGUCACGGGAAGAACACCCGUUGAUAGGCUCUACGUCGAAGUUCAGUAAUGGAUGCAGCGGAGGAGUACUAAUAGACC
rnacentral:rRNA from 1 species